AUUGAACGCUGGGGCAUGCCUUACACAUGCAAGUCGAACGGCAGCACGGGAGCAAUCCUGGUGGCGAGUGGCGAACGGGUGAGUAAGGUAUCGGAACGUGCCCAGUCGUGGGGGAUAACGUAGCGAAAGUUACGCUAAUACCGCAUACGAUCUAUGGAUGAAAGCGGGGGAUCGCAAGACCUCGCGCGAUUGGAGCGGCCGAUAUCAGAUUAGGUAGUUGGUGGGGUAAAGGCCCACCAAGCCGACGAUCUGUAGUUGGUCUGAGAGGACGACCAGCCACACUGGGACUGAGACACGGCCCAGACUCCUACGGGAGGCAGCAGUGGGGAAUUUUGGACAAUGGGCGAAAGCCUGAUCCAGCCAUGCCGCGUGCAGGAUGAAGGCCUUCGGGUUGUAAACUGCUUUUGUACGGAACGAAAAGGACUGCCCUAAUACGGUGGUCCCAUGACGGUACCGUAAGAAUAAGCACCGGCUAACUACGUGCCAGCCGCCGCCGUAAUAC
rnacentral:rRNA from 1 species